CACACAAAGAAAAUGCCAGCCUUGAAGAAAUUUAGACUGAGCAAAGAACUGGUUCAGGAAAGAGUGAAGGAUAACGUCAUUAUUGUGACCUUUGGGAACUAUGCAUUCAUGGAUUUUAUCCUGACUUGGGUUAAACACUUGACUGAUCUGGGGCUUUCUAACCUUCUCAUUGGUAAGCUACCCCCCAUUCUGGAUUGUGCACUUUUAUGUCUUUUUGGCCUUUCCAAUUUCUUUACAUAUCUAUUCCAUUUCCUUGUAAGGAAACAUAUGUUUUUGUAUUUCUAUUUAUGUCUGCACUUAUGAGUUUGAAAUUGAUGGCUUAGGUGCAAUGGACACCAAACUGUUGGAGGCUUUGUACUGGAAAGGUGUUCCAGUAUUUGAUAUGGGCAGCCAUAUGAGCACAAUAGAUGUUGGAUGGGGAUCACCAACAUUCCACAAGAUGGGGAGAGAAAAAGUUAUACUGAUAGACUCAAUCCUCCCUUAUGGCUAUGAGCUCUUGAUGUGCGAUACCGACAUGGUUUGGUUAAAGGUAGUUUUUCAGCUAGUACUUUAAUUCUUAAUAUUUUUUUGUCAAGAAUGCUUACUUGUUUGGUUUUUUCGUCUGACGAUUAUGAGUUAUCAUAUAUCUUUUUUCGUGGAACAGGACCCACUUCCAUAUCUUGCUCGCUAUCCUGAAGCAGAUGUCUUGACUUCCAGUGAUCAAGUUGUACCAACAGUCACUGAUGACAGGUUGGACAUUUGGCAACAAGGUGAAGAUUUUGUGUAAAAAUACUUCUUUUUUCAUCUCCACUAUCCUAUACGUGCAUAAAAUGUUUGCAGCUAUUCCAUGUGCUGGAUCUCUGUAUCUGGUGACAUGAAUUUGUGUCCAGCCACAAAUUAUAACUAUGCUAAUACUUUGGGAGGGGUCUACCCCUUGGGGAUACUAGUAUAGGAUCCGUAACUUUCCCUGUUUCUGUGGAUACCUUCAUUACUGUUAAAGUUAUUGCUUUGGUUAUUUUGCUGAUUUCUUCCCUCUAGCAGUUGGUGCUGCCUACAAUAUUGGAAUUUUCCACUGGCGGCCAACAGAUGCUGCUAAAAGAUUGGCCAAGGAAUGGAAAGAUAUGCUUCUAGCUGAUGAAAAGAUAUGGGAUCAGAAUGGGUUUAAUGAUCUCGUAAGGAAACAGUUAGGACCACCUGUUGAUGGAGAGAGUGGACUUGUGUAUGCUUUUGAUGGAAAUCUGAAGCUGGGAGUUUUGCCUGCAAGCAUAUUUUGUAGCGGGCAUACAUAUUUUG
rnacentral:lncRNA from 1 species